AAACGAUGAGUGCUAGGUGUUGGGGGGCUUCCACCCCUCGGUGCCGAAGUUAACGCAUUAAGCACUCCGCCUGGGGAGUACGGCCGCAAGGCUUAAACUCAAAGGAAUUGACGGGGACCCGCACAAGCGGUGGAGCAUGCGGUUUAAUUCGAAGCAACGCGAAGAACCUUACCAGCUCUUGACAUCUUCUGACAACUCUAGAGAUAGAGUGUUCCCUUCGGGGACAGAAUGACAGGUGGUGCAUGGUUGUCGUCAGCUCGUGUCGUGAGAUGUUGGGUUAAGUCCCGUAACGAGCGCAACCCUUGUUGCCAGUUGCCAGCAUUUAGUUGGGCACUCUGGCGAGACUGCCGGUGACAAACCGGAGGAAGGUGGGGAUGACGUCAAAUCAGCAUGCCCCUUAUGAGCUGGGCUACACACGUGCUACAAUGGAUGGUACAGCGAGUCGCUAAACCGCGAGGUCAAGCUAAUCUCCUAAAGCCAUUCUCAGUCCGGAUUGCAGGCUGCAACUCGCCUGCAUGAAGCCGGAAUCGCUAGUAAUCGUGGAUCAGAACGCCACGGUGAAUACGUUCCCGGGUCUUGUACACACCGCCCGUCACACCACGAGAGUUCGUAACACCCGAAGUCGGUCGAGCAACUUUAUAGAGCCAGCCGCCGAAGGUGGGAUGGAUGAUUGGGGUGAAGUCGUAACAAGGUAGCCGUAUCGGAAGGUGCGGCUGGAUCACCUCCUUA
rnacentral:rRNA from 1 species